GAUGAAGAACGCAGCGAAAUGCGAUAAGUAGUGUGAAUUGCAGAAUUCAGUGAAUCAUCGAAUCUUUGAACGCACAUUGCGCCCCUUGGUAUUCCAUGGGGCAUGCCUGUUCGAGCGUCAUUUGUACCUUCAAGCUCUGCUUGGUGUUGGGUGUUUGUCUCGCCUCUGCGUGUAGACUCGCCUCAAACAAUUGGCAGCCGGCGUAUUGAUUUCGGAGCGCAGUACAUCUCGCGCUUUGCACUCAUAACGACGACGUCCAAAAGUACAUUUUUACACUCUUGACCUCGGAUCAGGUAGGGAUACCCGCUGAACUUAAGCAUAUCAAUAAGCGGAGGA
rnacentral:misc_RNA from 1 species